AGUGAACGCUGGCGGUAGGCCUAACACAUGCAAGUCGAACGGCAGCACAGUAAGAGCUUGCUCUUACGGGUGGCGAGUGGCGGACGGGUGAGGAAUACAUCGGAAUCUACUUUUUCGUGGGGGAUAACGUAGGGAAACUUACGCUAAUACCGCAUACGACCUACGGGUGAAAGCAGGGGAUCUUCGGACCUUGCGCGAUUGAAUGAGCCGAUGUCGGAUUAGCUAGUUGGCGGGGUAAAGGCCCACCAAGGCGACGAUCCGUAGCUGGUCUGAGAGGAUGAUUAGGCACAAUGGGACUUAGACAACGGCCAGAAUCCUACGGGAGGCAGGAGUGGGGAAAAUUUGGCAAAGGGCGGAAAGCUGGACCAGGCAUACCGGGGUGGGGAAGGAGGCCUUCGGGGUGGAAAGCCCCUUUUGUGGGAAAAAAAAAGAGGAGGUUUAAACCCCGGUGGUCUGACGGUACCCAAAAAAUAAGGACCGGCUAACUUUGGU
rnacentral:rRNA from 1 species